CUAAGUAUUUUGUGUUUUCUUCAUGUAUUGGGUCAGGCCAGGGUGUGGCAUAGAGUUUUUGUAUUGUGGUGUGUUUUGUCUUGGGAUUUUGGAAUGUGUGUAUAGUGGGAUUGUAGCUUAGUGGGGUGUUCUAGGAGAGUCUAUGGCUGUCUGAAGUGGUUCUCAAUCAGAGGCAGGUGUUUACCGUUGUCUCUGAUUGGGAACCAUAUUUAGGCAGCCAUAUUCUUUGGUUGUAUUGUGGGUGAUUGUCCUGUGUGUCUUGAUGUCCUGGUUAGAGGUUAGUAGACACUUGUAUAGGCUGUUUUCGGUUUUCGUUUUGUAGUGUUAGUGUUUUGUUGUGUGUUACGUUGGUUUAUUAAAGAUGAAUCACAAUAGACAUGCUGCAGUUUGGUCCGACUCUCCUUCACCAUUAGAAAGCCGUUACAGCAGGAGUGAGAGGUCUGGCCGAGGUCACACUCGUUCAUCCGCAAUGGCUUGCUCACUUCGAAGGAAUCCGGAAGUCCCUGAAGGCUGUUUUUCUGAGAGGAUCCGAAGCCCCCCGGGCUCCCUCGAGAAUCAUCGGCAAUGGUCCCACUCCCGCUCCCCAUGUCAUUGAUGGCCAUCCGGCAUACACGGUGAAACGUCUCCUGGGUGUUCGACCACGGGGCAGGGGUUUCCAGUACCUGGUUGACUGGGAGGGUUACGAGGUGCUGGGUUCCCACUAGAGACAUCCUGGACUCAGCCCUCAUCGCCGACUUCCACCACCGACACCCCGGUCAACCAGGUAUGUGCCCAGUCCUCCCGGUUUUUGAACCUUGCCUGUUUUCUGGACUCCGUACCUGCCUGCCCUGACCUCGAGCCUGCCUGCCACUCUGUACCUCCUGGACUCUGAACUGGUUUUGACCUUUUGCCUGUCCACGACCAUUCUCGUCUACCCCUUUUGGAUUGUUUUAAUAAAUAUCAAGA